ACGAACGCUGGCGGCGUGCCUAAUACAUGCAAGUCGAGCGGACCUUUCGGGGUCAGCGGCGGACGGGUGAGUAACACGUAGGCAACCUGCCUGAAAGUCUGGGAUAACUAUCGGAAACGAUAGCUAAUACCGGAUACGCGGCUCUUGGGCAUCCAAGAGCCGGGAAAGACGGCGCAAGCUGUCACUUUCGGAUGGGCCUGCGGCGCAUUAGCUAGUUGGCGGGGUAACGGCCCACCAAGGCGACGAUGCGUAGCCGACCUGAGAGGGUGAUCGGCCACACUGGGACUGAGACACGGUCCAGACACCUACGGGUGGCAGCAGUCGAGAAUUUUUCACAAUGGGCGCAAGCCUGAUGGAGCGACGCCGCGUGGGGGAUGAAGGGCUUCGGCUCGUAAACCCCUGUCAUUUGCGAACAAACCUCGCUAUUUAAAAGAUGGCGAGUUGAUGGUAGCGAAAGAGGAAGGGACGGCUAACUCUGUGCCAGCAGCCGCGGUAAUACAGAGGUCCCGAGCGUUGUUCGGAUUCACUGGGCGUAAAGGGUGCGUAGGUGGUGAGGUAAGUCGGAUGUGAAAGCUCCGAGCUCAACUCGGAAAUGGCAUUGGAAACUACCUUGCUCGAGGGUUGGAGGGGGGACUGGAAUACUUGGUGUAGCAGUGAAAUGCGUAGAUAUCAAGUGGAACACCAGUGGCGAAGGCGAGUCCCUGGACAACUCCUGACACUGAGGCACGAAAGCUAGGGGAGCAAACAGGAUUAGAUACCCUGGUAGUCCUAGCCGUAAACGGUGCGUAUUUGCUGUAAAAGGAAUCGACCCCUUUUGUGGCGUAGCCAACGCGUUAAAUACGCCGCCUGGGAAGUACGGUCGCAAGAUUAAAACUCAAAGAAAUUGACGGGGGCCUGCACAAGCGGUGGAGUAUGUGGCUUAAUUCGAUGCAACGCGAAGAACCUUACCUGGCCUUGACAUGUAGGUAGUAGAACCGUGAAAGCGGGACGACCCCGCAAGGGGAGCCUACACAGGUGCUGCAUGGCUGUCGUCAGCUCGUGUCGUGAGAUGUUGGGUUAAGUCCCGCAACGAGCGCAACCCUUGUGUCCUGUUGCCACCCCUUCGAGAGAAGGGAGCACUCUGGACAGACUGCCUCGCUUAAACGAGGAGGAAGGUGGGGAUGACGUCAAGUCAGUAUGGCCCUUACGGCCAGGGCUGCACACGUACUACAAUGCCCGGCACAGAGGGAAGCGAGACCUUAAGGUGGAGCAAAUCCCAGAAAACCGGGCCCAGUUCAGAUUGUCGUCUGCAACUCGACGGCAUGAAGCUGGAAUCGCUAGUAAUGGCGCAUCAGCUACGGCGCCGUGAUAACACCCAGGGGUUGACUCACUG
rnacentral:rRNA from 1 species